UCCAAUGGUGAUCUCUAUAUUUUC
rnacentral:siRNA from 1 species